CAACUCUUGGCUCAGAGGUUAAAGCGUCUGCCUGCAAUGCGGGAGAUGUGGGUUCGAUUCCUGGGUUGG
rnacentral:tRNA from 1 species